GAGAGUGCGGCGCUGCCGGCGGGCGAGGGCGUGAGCAAGUUAGGUCCUGGUUGUGGUCUCUGCCCCGUCAUUGGAAUACCGGUGGAACCACGGUGGAAAUCCGGCUCCAGAGUCGGCCGGAGCACCGAGAGCGAGGCCGCGGGGCGGGACUUCCGGAGAUGAGGAGACAGAAUUUCUAGAAACCAAGGCUGAAGAAGCUGGAACGACUCCGCCUCUGCGAUGUUGAUAUUCUGACUGUCAGGGGAAUGGCUACCCACUGCCUUCUCCAGGGGCGAGAGAAGAGGAACUUCCAAAAUAAUGGGGUGACUGGGAUCCGUGCGACAGUCGGCAUUAAAAGUCCCCGGGCCGAAGCUGCUGGGAAGUCAUUACUGUAACUCUUCCUCGUUUGUUUUUUACUGAGAGAUCUUGAGAAAUGCUUGGAUGUGCACACCUUAAUUUGGAUAAUCUUUACGUGUUUUGCUGGUGUGUGUAGAACAAUCAGAAACUGCUAGUGAGCAAAGCGGUCCUGUGGUGCGUGUCUCACACAAAGUCAGAAUUUUGGAAUUCACCGAAAGCAGCAAGGGCACAGUACUCUGUGUCUUUCCACACCUGCAUCGUUCUCUGGAGCCAGCCGGCCACCAUUACUUAGACUUGGAAUGCAAGUCCCUGAAAGUUAUUUGGUAUCUGAUUCAAACUGAAAUGGUAACAGAUAGCCUAAAGAUCAUUCUUGAAGCAAAGCUCUCUGCAAAUUACUGUGAAGAUGGAUUCUGGUUCAGAGGUCCUUGCCAGCAAAACUCUCAAAAGUCUCCGCACCUAUACUUAAAGGACCUGGAACCGAGCCUAAACGGGACAAGAACUUCGAGCACUUUCGAAUAGCUCAGAGUGUUCUCUAUCCUGUUUGAACUUUUCAUUUUUGGCUUCUACUUGUGUCCACUGAGGUCAGAAGAAGGCAUUAGAUCACCUGGAGCUAGAGUCACAUACAGUUGAGAGCAGCCUGGUCUGGACACUGUGUCUUGAACUUAGGUUCUCCUUGAUUGCGGAGCCAUCUCAGCCCCAGGAGGUAUUAUUAUGUGCUGCCCUGAGCACUGAGCUGUUGAAGGGCAUUUCUGACCUAUCAGUAGUACCCUCCCUCAAAAUUAUCCAUUCAGAAUUGUCUUAAGUUUCCAAAUCUCCCCUGAAGAGAGCAAAAUGAUGUUGUUAAAAGAAAAUAAAAAACACUGAGAUAAGGAUAAGAGGGCACACUUAAACUUGUAUAUAUAUGAAUGGUGAUGUUUAAUGAAAUGACUAAUGUCUUUCAAGUGAUUAAUGUAUUUCCAGUAUUAACAAUGAAUUAGUGUUGUCAAGCAUUGCUUUGCUUUUUGAGUCCAUGUUUCUCAACUUUUCCUCUUUGCAGUUUAUUAAUGUAGGAAAAUGAAUUUAUUACCAAUGCUAGUUAGACCUGAUCCUUGGAAAUUACAUCAUGAAUAUAUUGCUACUAUCAGUUUGUUUUCUCUAACAUUGAUUGUGGACUCAUUGAAAUGAAUUGGCCUUGACCAAAAUAAUUUCUGGCUGCUGUUUAUGUUUACAUCCCAGCUAGCCUGGAUUAUUUAGAACACAGGCACUUCAUGGAAAAAUACAUGUUUACCUAGUUACUGAUUUUUUAUAUGAGUAAGGAGUUUUCUUUCUCUAAUUUUUAUUUAAGGAAGUUGAAAGCUAAAGGCUGAAGUCAGUAUGCUCAUAUUAGGACUGCUUGCUGGGUUUAGUCCCAACAGUGGCCUAUGGUUAUGGAAUUAUUUGAUUAACUUUCCAUGUUAAUUAUGUUUGUGUUUUAAGUUGUUUAGGAAAAUUAGGGCACAGUAGCUUUGGUUUGGCUUUUAGAAAGUUAGACUGUCUGACCUGUUUUAACCCAGGAAAUACGGUCUUUUCUGCUCCACUGAGCAUAUGUCGUCUUGUGAUAACCCACCCCUCCCCUGCUUAGUAACAAAGACAAUACUCAUUGUUUCUGGCAGCUUCAUGGGCAGGGCAAGGCCUGGUGGACACCCAAAACCAAGAAUGACCAAGAAUGUUGAGCCUUAAAGAAAGGUAAACUGUGAAAUCCUUUGCUAGUUCCUACAACACAGAACUUUCCAUUGGCUGCUGUUUCUAGUAAGAGGAUUGCCCCCAUAUCUUUAACAUUCUCCUCAGAUGUUUAAAUCUGAUUAAUUGGAAGCAGCAUCACUGAGAGGUGGUUGUUUAUACAGAAACCAGCAAUUCAGGAGACCCCUGAGCUCUGUACUUAUAUCUUUGCUUGCUGGAAGUCAUCUUUGGCUGUGAAUUAAGAAUUGUCUGUUUCCUUAGAGAACAGGCUUUAACUGUUGACCAUUCUGACUUGUAAUUCAACAGCUUACAUGUGUUAGUUACUUAAGAAGUUGAAAACAGUCAGAGCUGUUUAGUGUAUUAUUUAAUGAAAUUGCCUAGUUACCUAGAAAAGAAGUAUGGGGUCAUAAACCAUACAGAUUCAAUUUUAUUUUGCUAAUUCUUAAUGAAAUAUAACAGAUGAGAGCUAGAAUGGAAAUAGUGCAAUGUAAUGUUAUUCCAGUGAUUCUUAAUGCUCAUGAUCUCUGUACAUUUAGAAAGAAGCGAAACAUGGUUCAUACUUGGGAUCCCAGUACUAGAGAGGCCAAGGCAGGAGUUAGGAGACAUUCUGGGCUACAUAGAUAUAAGACUGUAUCUCACACAAAGGAAAAUAAAUAGAUGUGAGUGGGACUCUGAAAUGUAGCCAUUAAUCACUUGUUUACAAAUAAAUUUUAAUUUCAUUAAACUUUUA